rnacentral:rRNA from 1 species
AGCGAACGCUGGCGGCAGGCUUAACACAUGCAAGUCGAGCGGGCAUCCUUGUGGUGUCAGCGGCAGACGGGUGAGUAACGCGUGGGAACGUGCCCUUCGGUUCGGAAUAACUCAGGGAAACUUGAGCUAAUACCGGAUACGUGCGAGAGCAGAAAGGUUUAUCUGCCGAAGGAUCGGCCCGCGUCUGAUUAGCUAGUUGGUGAGGUUAUGGCUCACCAAGGCGACGAUCAGUAGCUGGUCUGAGAGGAUGAUCAGCCACACUGGGACUGAGACACGGCCCAGACUCCUACGGGAGGCAGCAGUGGGGAAUAUUGGACAAUGGGGGCAACCCUGAACCAGCCAUGCCGCGUGAGUGAUGACGGCCUUAGGGUUGUAAAGCUCUUUUCUUCGGGACGAUAAUGACGGUACCGGAGGAAUAAGCCCCGGCUAACUUCGUG